rnacentral:rRNA from 1 species
AUUGAACGCUGGCGGCAGGCCUAACACAUGCAAGUCGAGCGGUAGAGAGAAGCUUGCUUCUCUUGAGAGCGGCGGACGGGUGAGUAAUGCCUAGGAAUCUGCCUGGUAGUGGGGGAUAACGUUCGGAAACGGACGCUAAUACCGCAUACGUCCUACGGGAGAAAGCAGGGGACCUUCGGGCCUUGCGCUAUCAGAUGAGCCUAGGUCGGAUUAGCUAGUUGGUGAGGUAAUGGCUCACCAAGGCGACGAUCCGUAACUGGUCUGAGAGGAUGAUCAGUCACACUGGAACUGAGACACGGUCCAGACUCCGACGGGAGGCAGCAGGGGGGAAUAUUGGACAAUGGGCGAAAGCCUGAUCCAGCCAUGCCGCGUGUGUGAAGAAGGUCUUCGGAUUGUAAAGCACUUUAAGUUGGGAGGAAGGGUUGUAGAUUAAUACUCUGCAAUUUUGACGUUACCGACAGAAUAAGCACCGGCUAACUCUGUGCCAGCAGCCGCAGUAA